CAAAUUCAUGUCACAAACUAUACUACAGAGGCCAAUUAAUGUUCCUUAUCAAUUCUCUACCAAGUCUUCCUUUGUUCAAUUACAAUUUUGAUUACAGUAUUCAAUUACUUGUCUCAUUAUAAUUAUAAUCAACAUCUCCUUAAUUUCCUCCUCUUUUUCCCUCGACCCCUAUUUUCUCAUGGUGACCCACAUGCCACUUAUAG
rnacentral:lncRNA from 1 species